rnacentral:lncRNA from 1 species
ACAAACUACCAAAAACACAUAGAAAUAGUAAAUAAAAUCACCAUAAUGGUAGACACUAAGGCGGCGACAAAAACCCUGUCCAAACAGAUGAGGUAGACCCUCAGCAAAAUUCGGCGAGCCUCAAUCGGUGACUGGUCGACAACAAAGCACGAAGAAGCCGAGGGGAAGUUAUAAAAGAAUCGGCUCAUAAAGCCUGGAGAAAGGAAGCCACAGCUGUUCCUUUUUUU